rnacentral:rRNA from 1 species
UUCCUGGUGUCUAUGGCACGGUGGAACCACACUGAUACCUUCCCGAACUCAGAGGUGAAACGCCGCCGCGGCAACGAUAGUUUAGGGGUCGCCCUCUGCAACAAUAGCUCGAUGCCAGGU